ACGUAAGUUUGUUUAUUGCGUGGAUUGUGGAGUGUUUGUGGCGGAAGCCGAAUUGGUUUUCCGGGAUUAUCUUAUUUUUUGAGCAGAAGGCUGCUAGGGCGUUGUUUAUGAUCAUUUCGUAUACUUUGCUUAUGUUGGGGAGGAGGCUUAUGGGUCGUAGGUUUGCAGGGCCUACGCCUGGUAGUCCCUUAGGGCCGAGAGGUCCGGCCUGCUCGGAGGAUCACGGUCAACUGAAGGCGCUAACCACUGCGCUGCCGUCGUCCGACACUAUUUAGUGUCGAGUGUUGGUAUUUGGCUUGUCGAGUGCCGCCACAACAGUAAACAAUAAAUAACAAGUUCUGUGCACUGUUUACCCGAAAAUCGAGAAUCAAUUUUCAACGUCCUAAACUAACACUCUUCCUCUGUCAAUCUUCAAUACUUUAAAUAAAAACUUUCUUCUUGUGACCGUGUCUAUUUCUAAUGCUCGAAAUCCUUCUUCUUCUCUAACCGUCCAUCUGUAUACUGACUGUUUGGCAAAUCGGUUAUCCGUAACGACAAAUAAGGUCACAUUGUCCGUUAACAGAGAAAGUUCUUUUGUUUAUCCGCGUUUGAACUCUUAGGAAGUUUACAUAUAUACUGGUCGGUUAUAUUGUUUUGUCUGGAGUUUGUUUGUUAUUACAUUUCGUAUAUCAUAACGGUGUUAAUACUCCAAAGCAAAACAACAACAUGAGUCAACUUUGAUUCGAAUUGUCCUAUCAUUCAUGUGCCGCUACACCCCGUUACAAAGACACACACGCCUCACGGUAGGUCCCGCACAGUGGGCCCAACCACCGCCUCCUGGGGCUGGCACGCUGGACCGGUGCCUCUCUAAGACGUGCUAUAUCGCCCGACCGGCAGCACAC
rnacentral:misc_RNA from 1 species